AACCUCAAAACGAUUAAGACAACGCGGCUCGGGACACUAGAAUCAAUACAAUUGAGACAUCACUGCUGCAAAUUAAACUCUUUAAAAUUUAAAUAACGUUUCUGACACUUCUAAUUUUUAAGACAUGAAAAAACACAAAUGGAGACACAAUAUAAUCGGUUAUAAUCGGUAUAAACGGAUCGAAACAGCAGUUUUAAAGUUAUAACCAUUCUGGUCUGGACAUUAUAAAAUCCACACGAAAUGACGCGAAUUUACGUAUGAAAUAACAACGGCAGCGACAGUAAAAACGGAAGUUAAUUCAAAUGUUCAAAGAUGUCAAGAGGAAGAGAGAAAUAGGCAGGACCUUUGGAUCCCGGAUAUGAACCGUUGAUCCACGGAUCAAUCAUUUGGCGGCUGGAUUCCUAAACCUUCAAGUCCACAUGUUAAAAUGUCGUUGAGCAAAACAUUUAAACUCGGGUGAUAAUGGUUUUAAAGGUUGGUAAUGCUGCUGGGUGUCAAACCUAAAAUCUCUUAGGACCGAGAAGAGACAACGCUUUGCGGGACAAAUUCAUCUCUCUAAGGACGAAGACAACGCUUCUGUGGACAAAUGAAAUCUUUCAAGUAGUGAGGAAUUUUAAUCUUUUAGGACUAAUAUGAUGUCAUGGUGGACAAAUUAAAAUGUAGAGGAAUUAAAACAACACGCGGAGUACAAAUUAAAAUCUUUAAGGAUAAAAGAAAAGACAGAGAUAAAUAUUUGGUUAAGGCUUGGUCCAGUGACUUGGACCACCAUAGACAUAUUCUGAGGACCACCAGGAGCUGCAGUCACCUUUCAGGUUAAGGCAAAAGUAAGUAUCAGUCCCAGACAGAGCAGCUGGCAGUGAGACUGCUUCUUCCAAGAUUCUCUCUGUGCUUCUGUCUCUGUUUUCCUCUCUACUCUCCCAUGUUUCAGGGUGUAGUAGCGGUGCUUCCCCACACGGUGCUCUCUAAUAUAGUUAAUUGUUCUCACCUGUUCCUCCACUAAUCCACUCUCCCAGUUCUACUCUUUCAGGUUUUAGCUGCUCAUCGCUGGAUUCUUUCAUCGUUGUCCAUGUGGUUCCUGCUUGUAAGUUUUUGCAUUCAACAACACAUAAUAUUGCUGGCCUCCUGCUGGCAUUGGUGACCAUCAGCUUUAAUAAAUAAAUAUAGAAAGAAAUUCACUAUUAGUAGAAAGUGUUCCUCCAUAUAGAGUUAAAUUUACAUUAAGUGUGGAAAGUUUGCCUGAUAAUAUUUUGUAUUAGAGACCAAAUGAAAGCAGCAAGUCAAUAAAAAUUUGGAAGACAGAAUUUAUGAUUGAGGGAUUUAAUUAAGAGCUUUUAUCCAGAGGGAAAGUAGAGAACAGGAUCGGAGGGAAGGAAAUAGAGAGGAUGUGGAGUAAAGAUAAACUAUUAAUCUCAUAAAACAAAUAGUUUAUGUGGCCUUAUUCAUGUGUUACAACACAGAAAGAUCCCAAAAAGAGAAUAGACUUUAAAAAAUACUGACACUAGUUUCUGAUCCCAGGUCCAGACUGCUCAGAUCUCUGAUGUUCUGAUCAUCCCAGGUUGGAUCUCCUGAGCCUGGAAUCCUCCACCUUCAACACCACCAGUCAGGUGGAGGAAGAUAAGAGAACCCAGUUGGUCAAAAAAAUUGACCAACAAUUAAAGCAGAAGACCUGCUCCACCUGCUGUUCUACUGGUUGGAAGAGAUUGUGGAAAAGCAUCAGCGAGACAAGACAAGACUGGACCAAUGAGGAGAGAGAAGACACAGAGGACUGAGGAGACGCAGAAAAUCCUGCUGGAAAUCCAGAGAAGAUGUUUCCUGAUGCAUCAGGGGGACAGCUGAGGACGGGACACAGCAUAAAGAGACAGAGAUCAUGUGAAGUAGGUUGGAUCUCCUGAGCCUGGAAUCCUCCACCUUCAACACCACCAGUCAGGUGGAGGAAGAUAAGAGAACCCAGUUGGUCAAAAAAAUUGACCAACAAUUAAAGCAGAAGACCUGCUCCACCUGCUG